GACGAACGCUGGCGGCGUGCUUAACACAUGCAAGUCGAACGGAAAGGCCCUUCGGGGUACUCGAGUGGCGAACGGGUGAGUAACACGUGGGUGAUCUGCUCUGCACUUUGUUAUUAGCCUGGGAAACUGGGGCUAAUACCGAAUAGGACCACGCUCUUCAUUGUGGGUGGUGGAAAGCUUUUUCGGUGUGGGAUGGGCCCGCGGGCUAUCAUCUUGGUUGUGGGGUAUUGGCCUACCAAGGCGGCGAAGGGUAGCCGGCCCGAGAGGGUGGCCGGCCACAAGGGGACUGAGAUACGGCCCAGACUCCUACGGGAGGCAGCAGUGGGGAAUAUUGCACAAUGGGCGCAAGCCUGAUGCAGCGACGCCGCGUGAGGGAUGACGGCCUUCGGGUUGUAAACCUCUUUAGAUAGGGACGAAGCGGAAGUGACGGUACCUAUAGAAGAAGCACCGGCCAACUACGUG
rnacentral:rRNA from 1 species